CGCACCUUGCGCUCCUUGGUAUUCCGAGGAGCAUGCCUGUUUGAGUGUCAUUAAAUUCUCAACCUUAUUAGCAUUUGUUAAUAGAGAGUUGGAUGUGGGGGGGACAAAUUUUUUGAAGGUUUCUCGCGAGCCUUCUCCCCUAAAAUGCAUUAGCUGGUUGCUCGCGCGAACUGUCUAUUGGUGUGAUAAUUAUCUAUGCCAUUGACUAACUGCUAUAGUAGCACUGCUUCUAAUUGUCUUUGGACAACUAUAUGACAAUUUGACCUCAAAUCAGGUAGGACUACCCGCUGAACUUAA
rnacentral:misc_RNA from 1 species